GAAGCUGACCAGACAGUCGCCGCUUCGUCGUCGUCCUCCUUCGGGGGGAGACGGGCGGAGGGGAGGAAAGUCCGGGCUCCAUAGGGCAAGGUGCCAGGUAACGCCUGGGGGGUGUCACAGCCCACGACCAGUGCAACAGAGAGCAAACCGCCGAUGGCCCGCGCAAGCGGGAUCAGGUAAGGGUGAAAGGGUGCGGUAAGAGCGCACCGCGCGGCUGGUAAACCCCGCUCCGGCGGGGUUUUUGCUAUUCGAAUAGCGGAGAAAGGAUGAAUAACUGUCCACGACGCUAUACCAAAAGAACGCGGCUCAUCGGUCAGUUUCACCU
rnacentral:RNase_P_RNA from 1 species